rnacentral:rRNA from 1 species
GUGCCAGCCGCCGCGGUAAUACGUAGGGGGCAAGCGUUGUCCGGAUUUAUUGGGCGUAAAGCGCACGCAGGCGGUGCGGUAAGUUACAAGUGACAGGUGGUGGCUUAACUGCCACAGGACUUGAAAAACUGCCGCACUUGAGGGCUUGAGAGGGACGCGGAAUUCCAGGUGGAGCGGUGAAAUGCGUAGAGAUCUGGAAGAACACCAAAGGCGAAGGCAGCGUCCUGGCGAGUCACUGACGCUCAGGUGCGAAAGCUAGGGGAGCAAACAGGAUUAGAUACCCUGGUAGUCC